ACAUCAACAUCACCACCCAUUAUCAUCAUUGCCAUCAUCAUACUCGCGAAGGACUCCGCAAGGUGUUUCAGGCUCAUUACUAUUCAUUCUAUAUUCUCCAUUGGAGUAGUCCUGGCAAAAAAAUUAUCCAAAAUUCUCCAAACGUUAGUAGUUCAUCUUUCCUUAAAUAACAGUAAUACUUGCAUAUGAUUGAAUAGAUAAACCUUUACCUUUCACCAAACAGAACCUAAAAAUAAAACUGACGAGAACCCAGAACCAAAAAACAGAAAGAAAAUAAAAAAAAAAAAAGCGGCCUAUUGAUUGUGUGAUUAAUUACGAUACUGGUGCAACAAUAACUGAGUCGAUAACCAGUACAGAGAUAUGAAUAAAACGAAAACCUAAUAGCAUAAGGAAGGUACUAACGCAGAAAACUAAAAUUCUUAUGCAAUGUAUAAGAGAAAAGAAAAGAAGAAGCGAGAAGCAAGAAGAAAAAGAUGGAUUAAUUUUUCUUUUUCUAAGAUAUCGAUUUUCUUUUUCACUUUCAAUCCUCAAUUAAAUAAAUUACUCCAUAAACAGAUAGCGAGAAUGAGGUACCAAGUGAGGAAAAGAAGAAGAUGGUUUUGGAGUAGCAGACCCAGGAGGUUUAGCCUUUCCACCGCGAGUUUUCAUUCUCAUUUUUCUCUGAUUCAAGUUUCGAACUUCGCCAGCUUUUUAUAUAUUCUUCUUUUUCACCGGGGCAACUACGGUGCUUUCGGAAUUUUACAGACACGGGAAAGACCAAUAUUUAAGCAGAAGGUGGACUUGGGCUCUGGAACGAAAAUGAGCCUGAACUUCUAUAACCCAUAAUUUUAAUUAUCUUAACAGGAAGCUCAAGCGUCGAGCCAUUUGUAAAUUUGGGAGAAGUUACUGGCAAAUUUAUAUUUACAUCCGGUCUAAUUUUUCAAUUCGAUCUAAAAAAAAUAUGAUGAUAGAACUCCAAUCAUCUCAUAUUCUCAUGUCUAAUUAAUUCAUUUCAUUCCUCUUAAGUAUUUUUUAAAAAUGUUUUUA
rnacentral:lncRNA from 1 species